UGCUUGAUCGGUCGGAAUGAGAAGAAGUUUGACUACAUCAACCGCGUUGUCAAACACUUCCGCUUUCUGUCUACAAGGGGAUACACUUUGUGAACUCUUUAUAUUUUCAUUUACCUGAAGUUUGUAGCCCUCAAGCUAAAAGGAUACACUUCGUGAAGUCUUCAUAUUUUCAUUUACCCGAAGUGUGUAGCCCUCAAGCUAAAAGUAAAAACUUAUUCCUCUGUCUGAAGAAGUUUUUAAUCAGCAAUCUUGCAGCUUUUUACCGAGGUCCCUUUGUGAGUUGUAAACUUUAAAAUGUCCUUUGUUUGUUUGAAGAUAUUAACAGUUUCAUCU